rnacentral:tmRNA from 1 species
GGGGUUGUACUGGUUUCGACGGGGAUUUUGAAGUUACGGAAGCCAUCCGCAGACCAGGACUGCGCAACAACUUGGACCUAAACACAAACGCAGAAGAUAAUUUUGCAUUAGCUGCCUAGUUGCAGCUUGUCGGCCUUAGGAAACCCACAGCUUAAGAGUCCGGCACCGAACAUGUGGGACCCUCAUACUCCUAAGCUUUGCAGAGUAUGAAGUAAUAUGAAGCUACUAAAAUCUUAUACCUGUCUCUGGGCGUAAGAUGGAGGGAAUGUCUAAUCAGAGACUGUGAUGGGAGAUGCCGUAAUGGAUGGGUUUUCGGACAGGGGUUCGAUUCCCCUCAGCUCCAUUU